GAAUCAAAACUUUCAACAACGGAUCUCUUGGUUCUGGCAUCGAUGAAGAACGCAGCGAAAUGCGAUAAGUAAUGUGAAUUGCAGAAUUCAGUGAAUCAUCGAAUCUUUGAACGCACAUUGCGCCCUCUGGUAUUCCAGAGGGCAUGCCUGUUCGAGCGUCAUUUCAACCCUCAAGCCUAGCUUGGUGUUGGGGCAUUACCUUCCCUUACGGGAGGGUAAGCCCUGAAAUUUAGUGGCGAGCUCGCCAGGACUCCGAGCGCAGUAGUAAAACCCUCGCUUUGGACUGUACUGGCGCGGCCCUGCCGUAAAACCCCCAACUUCUGAAAAUUGACCUCGAUCAGGUAGGAAUACCCGCUGAACUUAAGCAUAUCAAUA
rnacentral:rRNA from 1 species